rnacentral:lncRNA from 1 species
GAAUGGUUCUCUACUUGGCAGGGCAUUCAUCUGAGUCAUUCUCACUGAACAGGAGUUUUCUACUUACAGACGAGUAUACCUCCUUACCUAUGGCCCAAAAUGGGAAACUCGGGAUAAGGAAGUGUCAUCUUAAGUACAAUCUCCUCACUUGCCCUUCUUUCCUACCUUCUAGUACUGUCUCUGCAUGAUCUUGAAGGCUUUACUCUGUACCUCCAUCACUGUUUAGUAAAUGUACCAAGUGCAUAUGAAUCAGGUAGGUCCUGGAGUCAAAAUGAGACAAACUGCCCCAGUGGCAAAGCCUAGAAAAUCUUCUCUGGAUAAGGGUUGGGAGGCCUAUCGGAAAAUGAUUCCUUCUCAGAAUGGUAAGAUCAUAGACUCACACUAUGUGAGGACAUUUACAUAAUAUACUUUAAUCCCUUCAUUUUACAAAUGAAGAGAAUGCAUUGCCUAUGGUCUCAUAGCAAAGUGAGGACUAGGUUGGGACUAAAACCAGUCAAGGUUGGAACUAGAACCAGGUGUUUCAGCUAGUCUUGUAUGCAUCCAAGUGCAUCAUACUUGGUGAUUUUGAAUUGUUAGAGCUGAGUCUUGUGUGGUUAGGGGAUCAUGUGCAACUUUGCUAGUAGGGAGUUCGCUUCUUAAAAAUUUUUUUCUUUCAGCUCCCCACACAUCUAAAUAUUUUGUAAGGAGAUACUUUGAAAGGGUAAGUCUGGCUCCAUGAAUGUCCCAUCUGUAUAGCUGCAAAGUAUCCUGAUUUAGAAGGGUCCUGAGCUCUGGCCCUGUUUACUUUUUUUUUUUUUUUUUUUAGACAGGGUCUCACCAUGUUGCCCAGGCUGGAGUGCAGUGGCACAAUCACAGCUCACUGCAGCCUCGACCUCCUGGGCUUGAGCGAUCUUGCUGCCUCAGCCUCCUGAGUAACUGGGACUACAUGAGUAGCUGGGACUACAGAGACCAUUCACUUACUAUAUUCAGAACACCAAGAGAUACGUAAAGACUGCGGUUGAUUGGUGAGCUUUGCUGGACUCAGGUGGAGAAGGCUUUGCCUUGGCCCCCAGAAGAGCAGAUGCUCCAGUCAAUUCUGGAGUAGGAAGAAAAGAUUUGGAAUACUUUAUGACUCCCUGUGAUAUGGUUUAGAUGUUUUGUCUCCUCCAAAUCUCAUGUUGAAAUGUGACCUCCAGUGCUGGAAGUGGGCCUAGAGGGAGUUGUUUGGGUCAUGGGGGCAGAUUCCUUAUGAAUAUCUUGGUGCUGUCCUAGUGGUAAUGAUUGAGUUCUCAUUCUACGAGUUCACAUAAGAUCUUGUUGUUUAAAAGAGCCUGGCACCUCCUUUCUUUCUCUCUUGCUCACUCUCACAAUGUGACACACUGGAUCCCCUUGACUUUCCACCAUCAUUGUAAGGCUUCUGAGGCCCUCCUAGAAGCAGAUACCUGCACCAUGCUUCAUGUACAGCCUGCAGAACUGUGAGACAAAUAAACUUGUUUUCUUCUAAAUUAC